AUUGAACGCUGGCGGCAUGCUUUACACAUGCAAGUCGAACGGAAACAGGUUAAGCUGACGAGUGGCGAACGGGUGAGUAAUGCAUCGGAACGUGCCCGAUCGUGGGGGAUAACGCAGCGAAAGCUGCGCUAAUACCGCAUACGAUCUGAGGAUGAAGGCGGGGGACCGUAAGGCCUCGCGCGAUCGGAGCGGCCGAUGUCAGAUUAGGUAGUUGGGGGGGUAAAGGCCCACCAAGCCGACGAUCUGUAGCUGGUCUGAGAGGACGACCAGCCACACUGGGACUGAGACACGGCCCAGACUCCUACGGGAGGCAGCAGUGGGGAAUUUUGGACAAUGGGCGAAAGCCUGAUCCAGCAAUGCCGCGUGCAGGAAGAAGGCCUUCGGGUUGUAAACUGCUUUUGUACGGAGCGAAAAGGUCCUUUCUAAUACAAGGGGCUCAUGACGGUACCGUAAGAAUAAGCACCGGCUAACUACGUGCCAGCCGCCGCCGUAACAC
rnacentral:rRNA from 1 species